rnacentral:misc_RNA from 1 species
AGUACAAGACCCAAAGAACCAAAGAGAGAAAACAAAACAAUCAAAGAAAGAAACUAUUGUAUAAGAGCCAAAAGAUUAAAAAGUGUGAACCAAGUCACAGGUUUGGGCUGGUCAGAGGCACAACAUGGAGGGAAGAUUGUUGUAAAGAAGCACUGCCGAAUAGGAUUGCCGGAAAGGUGCUCACGCACCGCAGCGUGGGGAAAUGUCGUGAAUGGUCUGACGGCGCAUGACGACAUGUGCGUGCUUAAAAGAUGAUGCAACACUGGGAAAUGGUGGGAAUCAGCUAGUCUUCCUUCUGGAAGGGGUAGCGUUAGUCACCUCCUCCCUUAAAGCCGCCCAGAAACUUGACCUAGAAAAAAACCCUGAGUCUUUGUUUUCUCUGUAUCACGUAACCUUAUGCCAGUUGAUGAUGG